rnacentral:lncRNA from 1 species
CCCCCUCCCCCCGCCCCAUUGCACGGCUCAGACACUCAGUCUUUUCUGAGGCCUGCUCUACACCUACAUAUUAGCUUGACCUGGCGAUGCCUCUCGGGGCGGCAGCAGGGAAAAGGGAUGGAGGCCAGGUGCAGCUCCCGCUCAGGAGCACCCCAUUGGCUGGCCACGCAGGGGCUUUGUUCUUGGCAGGGAACGUCGCGCAGGCCGCGGCUCUGCAGUGGCAGCCCUCCACGAGCGCGCGGCAGGCUUAGAGCGGGUGAGCAUGUGCGGAGUUAGGGGGGAGGCACUGCAGCCUGCUGAUGUAAAGCAAAGAGAGGAUAGCUGUGCACUAGGAGCCCCCCUUUCACUCCCCCCGCCCCUCUUCCCCUCAGCAGGGCAGGGGGGCGGUCGAGCGGAGGAAAGCAAAGCCAGAAGCAGCUCGCUAUGGCAAGUGCAGCGGAGGCAGGUGCCAUCUGGUCGCCCUCACCUCAGUGCCGAGCGGGAGAAGAGGACGAGGCUGGCUGGCUCAGGGAUGGCAGAAGCCAGUGGAGAGAAGACGUCGUUUAGAUUUACGGGUCACAGAUGCAGCAGUUUAGAAGCACCCGUAAGAGCUAUUUGGCUUAGCAAAGAUGCAGCAUGAACGAAGUGCACAGACCCUGCAUCUCAGCAGUUGUUCCAUGCAACCCCUCAGAAUGCGGCUACUCAUCUCUGUUCACCUGGCUGCUCAGCCCGCAGAGAGAAACAAACCCACAAGGUACGGAUCCUACUGCUUAUCAUUUUCCAAGACUAAAAGACCAGCCCUCAGCUGGCGCUUAUUGGCACAGCUCCAGAGUCUGGCCCUUAGAUUUUAAAUGGCACAAAACCUAGUGUUUUCUCCUCCCUACGGGCUUUGGAGUCGGAAGGCAGAGUCCUAGCAUUGUUUAAAUUAUUUAGCCCUUCCCUUUCAACAUUGCUUGGGUUAAUUUCAGAGUCAUCAAGCCGAGCAUCGAAUGACACAUACAUUGAGGAUAACUAGAAUUGUGGGAUCCCCAGAGCUUUUGGGGGGGGGGAGGGAGGAGCCUUGAUUCCUUCAGUCCCACUUUGCAUCACUGACACCAAGAGCACCCUCUGGGAAGUAUCACUCAGGUGAGAGCACAGAAAUGUUCACAGAGCAUAGCGAUGGGAAUGGUACAGACGGACAGACAGACACAACAACCCUAGUCACCACCACAGAGAUAUUCAAGCAACGCUGGUGUGUCUCAACACUGAGCUUUGGAAGAGGCAGCUUUUAAGGUAUAAGUUCAUGCUGCAAAAACAUUUAGCUAAGGAAGCUUGGGCCAGAUUUUUAAAGGUGUUUAGGUGCCUAACAUGGGAGCUAGGCCCUAUGUGGAAUAUUUUCAAACUUGGGUGUCACAGCUCGCACCAGUGUCAACAGCAGCUGCGGAUGCUCAGCAACUCUGACAGUCAGGCUAGAUCUACAAUAUGGGCUCUACAGCCGCACAGCUACAGUGCCACAGCUAUGUGGCUGUAGCACAGCCACUUCCUGCAUCAAUGAAACAGGUUUUUCCAUAGAUAUCGUUAAUCCUUCUCCCCCCACCACCCAAGAGGCAGUAGGUAAGUCGACAGAAGAGUUCUUCCGUUAACCUAGCUGCGUCUACCUGAGGGGCAUGGGCA